CCUACGGGAGGCAGCAGUGGGGAAUUUUGGACAAUGGGCGCAAGCCUGAUCCAGCAAUGCCGCGUGAGUGAAGAAGGCCUUCGGGUUGUAAAGCUCUUUUGUCAGGGAAGAAACGGUGGGAGCUAAUAUCUCCCGCUAAUGACGGUACCUGAAGAAUAAGCACCGGCUAACUACGUGCCAGCAGCCGCGGUAAUACGUAGGGUGCAAGCGUUAAUCGGAAUUACUGGGCGUAAAGCGUGCGCAGGCGGUUUUGUAAGUCUGUCGUGAAAGCCCCGGGCUCAACCUGGGAAUUGCGAUGGAGACUGCAAGGCUUGAAUCUGGCAGAGGGGGGUAGAAUUCCACGUGUAGCAGUGAAAUGCGUAGAGAUGUGGAGGAACACCGAUGGCGAAGGCAGCCCCCUGGGUCAAGAUUGACGCUCAUGCACGAAAGCGUGGGGAGCAAACAGGAUUAGAUACCCUGGUAGUCCACGCCCUAAACGAUGUCUACUAGUUGUCGGGCUUUAAUUAACUUGGUAACGCAGCUAACGCGUGAGUAGACCGCCUGGGGNGGUACGGUCGGUCGAGAGUUAAACUACGAAGAAGUAGNGNGNGNGAGNGCGACGGACGACGACGAGGGAGGAGG
rnacentral:rRNA from 1 species